rnacentral:rRNA from 1 species
AGACGUAGGGUGCGAGCGUUGUCCGGAGUUACUGGGCGUAAAGGGCGCGUAGGCGGCCGUCCGCGUCGCACGUGAAAGCCCCCGGCUCAACCGGGGAGGGUCGUGCGAGACGGGGCGGCUGGAGGCAGGCAGAGGCGAGUGGAAUUCCCGGAGUAGUGGUGAAAUGCGUAGAGACCGGGAGGAACACCGGUGGCGAAGGCGGCUCGCUGGGCCUGGCCUGACGCUGAGGCGCGAAGGCGUGGGGAGCGAACGGGAUUAGAUACCCCGGUAGUCCACGCAGUAAACGCUGGAGACUAGGUGUGGGGGGUGUUGACCCCCUCCGUGCCGGCGCUAACGCAGUAAGUCUCCCGCCUGGGGAGUACGGCCGCAAGGCUAAA